UGGGGAAUUUUGCACAAUGGGGGAAACCCUGAUGCAGCGACGCCGCGUGAUUUAGAAGGCUUUCGGGUUGUAAAAAUCUUUUGUAUGGGAAGAAAAUGACAGUACCAUACGAAUAAGGACCGGCUAAUUACGUGCCAGCAGCCGCGGUAAUACGUAAGGUCCGAGCGUUUUCCGGAAUCAUUGGGCGUAAAGGGGACGUAGGCGGAUAAGCAAGUUAGGAGUGAAAUCCUAUAGCUCAACUAUAGUAAGCUUUUAAAACUGCUCAUCUUGAGGUAUGGAAAGGAAAGUGGAAAUCCUAGUGUAGCGGUGAAAUGCGCAGAUAUUAGGGGGAAUACCGGAGGCGAAGGCGACUUUCUGGCCAUAUACUGACGCUGAGGUACGAAAGCGUGGGUAGCAAACAGG
rnacentral:rRNA from 1 species